AUUGAACGCUGGCGGCAGGCCUAACACAUGCAAGUCGAACGAGUGGCGGACGGGUGAGUAAUGUCUGGGAAACUGCCCGAAGGAGGGGGAUAACUACUGGAAACGGUAGCUAAUACCGCAUACCAUCGGAUGUGCCCAGAUGGGAUGAGCUUGUAGGUGAGGUAACGGCACACCUAGGCGACGAUCCCUAGCGGGUCUGAGAGGAUGACCAGUCACACGGUAACUGAGACACGGUCCAGACUCCUAAGGGAGGCAGCAGUGGGGAAUAGUGCAAAAUGGGCGCAAGGCUGAUGCAGCCAUGCCGCGUGGAUGAAGAAGGCCUGCGGGUUGGAAAGUACUUUCAGCGGGGAGGCGUUACCCGCAGAAGUAGCACCGGCUAACUCCGUGCCAGCAGCGGCGGUAAUUC
rnacentral:rRNA from 1 species